UGUCUAGACUUUCUUCCUCUUCUCCUUCUUCUCUUUCUUCUUCUCCUACAUUUCCCUCCUCUGUUCCAGUAGUUUUUAAAUGUGCCCUCUUUUAAUGAUUUCAAUUCACUUGUUCUUUCAUUCUAGGCAGAAGAAAGGUAAGAUACUUGAGAGAACAUUUGAGGAAAAGUCAUUUUACACUUGCAGGAUAUUGACUAUGGAAUCAUGAAAACAUGAUGGCAAAGCCAUGUGGAACUUUGCCUCCGAGAGGUUAAGUGACUGGCCUUACAUUGUAGCCAACUGAGGACCUAGAAAUAACUCUGGCUCAUAAUUUUUCAUCAAAUGCCUUUUGGAAUUGUAACCAGCUAGUUGCUCUGGUAGAGAUUUUCCUUGGCAACAAAAAAGAACGUCAAGUGCAAAAGUCUAAGAAAAUAAGAAAAUGUUCUACCACCAGGUGGUGAUAAACGAUAACAUUUAAAAUCACUCAAGUGUGAGUACUUCAAGCAAAUGUUUGACUACCCCAAAUACAAGUGACUUCCAAAUGUCACAUAAAUUUAGAAUUGUAUUAUGAGGAUCUUUUAUGACUUGAAAUAAAUUAAUAUUAACAUAAUAUUUCUAGUUUAAUAAAUUCUGGAAUUAGAAGCAGACAAGUUUAGUCAGCAGGAGGCACAUGAGACCACAGAAUAAGAAAUUUUAAACUAAAUAUUUUUCCCCACUCAGCUCACAAUUUAUUGAUUAGAUGAUUGAGAUAGAAGCUUUUUGGAAAAGUGUCUAUUCAUG